rnacentral:miRNA from 1 species
AGCCAUAGCGGGGUGGCAUAGU